CGAUCAAUGCGAGGGUCUUGCCGCCGGCGUGUUCCAGUUGCGCGAACGGCAGCAGCAGCGGCAGCUCGGUGCAGCCCAGGAUGAUCACC
rnacentral:tRNA from 1 species